rnacentral:rRNA from 1 species
UGAAUACGAGACGCUAAGGCGUCGAAGUAGUGUAUGUCAUACUUCCAAGAAAAGCUUGCACUGUCAUAGAUAAAAAACGCCUGUACCAUAACCGACACAGGUGGUAGGUAGAGUAUACUAAGGGGCGCGAGAUAACUCUCUCUAAGGAACUCGGCAAAAUAACUCCGUAACUUCGGGAGAAGGAGUGCCUUAUUCGUAAGGUUGCAAUAACAAGAUCCAAGCAACUGUUUAUCAAAAACACAGGUCUCCGCUAAGUCGUAAGACGAUGUAUGGGGGCUGACGCCUGCCCAGUGCCAGAAGGUUAAAGAAGAUGGUUAGCAAUUGCGAAGCUGAUAACUGAAGCCCUGGUGAACGGCGGCCGUAACGAUAACGGUCCUAAGGUAGCGAAAUUCCUUGUCGGGUAAGUUCCGACCCGCACGAAAGGCGUAAUGAUUUGGAUACUGUCUCGGAGAGGGGCUCGGUGAAAUAGACUUGUCUGUGGAGAUGCGGACUACCUGCACCAGGACAGAAAGACCCUAUGAAGCUUUACUGUAACUUGAAAUUGAAAUUGGACUUUAUUCGCGCAGUAUAGGUGGGAGGCGUUGAUUAUAAUCUUGUGGGAUUAUUGGAGCCAUCAGUGAGAUACCACUCUUGUAAUGUUAGAUUUCUAACUUUGAAUCAUUAUCUGGUCAAAGAACAGUUUCAGGCGGGCAGUUUGACUGGGGCGGUCGCCUCCUAAACGGUAACGGAGGCGUACAAAGGUUUCCUCUGAACGGUUAGAAAUCGUAUCUAGAGUGUAAAGGCAUAAGGAAGCUUGACUGUGAGACCUACAAGUCGAGCAGGGACGAAAGUCGGUCUUAGUGAUCUGACGGUACUGAGUGGAAAGGCCGUCACUCAACGGAUAAAAGUUACUCUAUGGAUAACAGGCUGAUCUCCCCCAAGAGUUCACAUCGACGGGGAGGUUUGGCACCUCGAUGUCGGCUCAUCGCAUCCUGGGGCGGUAGUACGUCCCAAGGGUUGGGCUGUUCGCCCAUGAAAGCGGUACGCGAGCUGGGUUCAGAACGUCGUGAGACAGUUCGGUCCAUAUCCGGUGUAGGCGUUAGGAUAUUGAGAGGAGCCUUCUUUAGUACGAGAGGACCGAGAAGGACAUACCUCUGGUGUACCAGUUAUCGUGCCAACGGUAAACGCUGGGUAGCUAUGUAUGGAGUGGAUAACCGCUGAAAGCAUCUAAGUGGGAAGCCCACCUCAAGAUAAGUAUUCUC